rnacentral:rRNA from 1 species
UACGUAGGGGGCAAGCGUUGUCCGGAAUCAUUGGGCGUAAAGCGCUCGUAGGUGGCCCCAUAAGUCCGCUGUGAAAGUCAAAGGCUCAACCUUUGAAAGCCGGUGGAUACUGUGGGACUAGAGUACGGAAGAGGCGAGUGGAAUUCCUGGUGUAGCGGUGGAAUCCGCAGAUAUCAGGAGGAACACCAAUAGCGAAGGCAGCUCGCUGGGACGUUACUGACACUGAGGCGCGAAAGCGUGGGGAGCGAACAGG